rnacentral:lncRNA from 1 species
GCAUUUGGAAAGGUCAUACGCCUCGACCUUGCUAUAUAUAAAACAAUUCUUUCGCUACUACCACAUGAUAUCUAGACGGACAACAACAACUGUGUUUUGAAGGAACAACAUACAAGGGCUUGCAACUACUGAGAAAACUUUGGUGCAGACUGUGUCAUAAAAAUGAAACUAGACAAAGCAGGGGAAGGCUGACCCGUAGGAAACGGGGAGAGGCUGCCCUUUAGAACCACAGAUUUAAAGCAUUUCCAAGCCAGAGAGAGGACUUCUGGGUUCCCAGCCCAAUCACUUGGUAUGGGCCCUGUUUCCUAGGAACAGUCUUUCAGACUGGAGUAUUAGUGCUCCCUGCUAAGUGCAGAGCCCAACAAGGGGCUCAAUCCCAGAAUCCCCAGAUCAUGACCUGAGCUGAAAUCAAGAGUCGGAUGCUUAACCAGCUAAGCCACCCAGACGCCCUGGCAUCAGGUCAGAAUUUUAUCAAGGUCACAUUUAGGAGAGUACAUCAAUAUUCUACAGCAGCUUUGGGGGCUGAAAUACAGAUUCCUGGAUUCAGAGUUAUUAACCAGUCAUUUCGGUCGGGUACAGGUUUAACAUCAACUGUCAUCAAAGCAACCGAUGCAGGACCAAGUCAAUUCAACAUCGACCAAACAUCUGAUUUUAUUUACUUAUUUGGUGGAGAGGGAGCAAGCACACACAAGCAGGGAGAGCCGGAGAAGGAGAAGCAGGCUCCCUGCUAAGCAGGGAGCAUGAUGCAGGACUCGAUCCCAGGACCCCUGAAUCCCCACCUGAGCCCAAGGCAGACGUUUAACCAACAGAGCCGCCCAGCAUCCCAAGAAUAUUAUUUUAAUAAAAAUGCAUGUAAAGCAUAAAUCUCCUAAUUUAAUUGUUUCCAGCAUCAGAUGGGCGGGUGAAAUAAACACUCAGAAAAUGCAGUGGUGGGAUUCCCGGGUUUUUUCCCUUUUUCUGUGUGGGGUGCCACACCGUUAUUAGAUCAGAAAGGCAAACACGCAGUAUUGCCUAUGCUGGCCAUAAAGAGUUAUAACUCUUGACUAUACCUCGGUGUGUAGAGGGUAAGUUUCAAUCUGAAGAUAAAAAACAAACAGACAACCUUUCCUCAGGAUAGAAUGUUUCUACCCAACACUGAAAUACAAACAAAAAUUAUUCUAUAUGGAAAUUUGUCCACACAUAUUGCAAAUUGUUUCCAUUUUCCUUUAUUGUCCUCUAAUGAUCUCAUCAAGAGUGCAUAAUUAGCUCGCUAGACUGCGGAAUUCUGGCUGUGCCCUGAAGCAGCCAAGCAGGGUGGUUGACUAGCCCCGGUCUCCUCCGGAGCUCAGCACUGUCCCCGGGAGUGCAGGGUAGGAAGACAGCUGCGCCUGUGCCUUCUGCCUCCACCCGACAGUUCGGGCGCCGUGGGGUGGGGGGAAUCUUAGUCUGAUAUAAAAUACAAAAGUAAGUUUUUUCACCUGCUAGUUAGUUGCCCCUGUCAGUUAGUAGUGGCUUUUGAUGUCUUCCAACAUCGUGGUAAGCUGCUGGGCGGAUGGGUUUGGGAGCCAAUUUUCCUCGGUCUGCACACAGCCCUUAAUCUACUCUCCUCUGAGUAGAAUGUGAGCCCAGCCCUAAGUCAGAGAUUGAAAUUCCAAAACCAAACCACAGAUCCCGUCGUAUUCACAGUUGAAUCAAGGCCUUCCCGAAAUUCUAGACUUGAUUCUCGUCUGCUGAGCUCUCCAUAGGUACAAACAGGCAGGGAGGGGAGAGAGCUCGCCUCCCAAGUCCUAAUGCACAUACACUCUUUAUUAGGACAAAUGAUCAGUCGAGGAUAUGCUCCAGCAAACACGCUCUGUGUGGGGGGGUUUCAUGAAGAGUUUGUACUUCUUUCCUGAAAUGAAGGCAUUGGAAGCACACAAGGGUUUUCUUCUAUAAAAAGCCACUUACUGUCACCAAAUAUUAUUUCCUCUUUCUUUCACUAAUUAGUUAGAGAUGAAAUAAUAGUUGAGCAUUUCAUAAUCUUAAAUUCACAAUAUUUUACUUAAUUAAAAUAGGUAAUUUAGGAAAAUAAUUGGCAAUUGCUAAAAACCUCUAAUGCUGAUGACAACUAAGCUGGAAGCAUUCUUUCCUCACAAAUUGGUACUUAAAUAUAAAGUUCUGCGCACAGCUGGAAAGUGCCAUCGUAAAGGGCAUUUACGUUCAGUAGCUAUCAUUAAACCAAACAAACCGAAAUUAAAGGCAGAAGAAAAACAGCUAAUUUUAGAAGAAAUAUUUGGGCAUAGAUUUUAAGGGCUCAAAAGUAUAAAUGACUCUCUAAGUGUUUAUAAGAAUAUUGUCAGAUGACCUCUCUGCAGACUUCUAAGACAUCGAUUUCAUCUCAUACUUCACCCUGG